UGGAUAGCCCAGCUGGUUAGAGCAUGGUGCUGAUAACACCAAGGUUGCGGGUUCGAUCCCCAAAUGGGACAG